UCCAAAGCUCACACGACAGCUGUUUCAGAGA
rnacentral:piRNA from 1 species